GGUAGUGUGGCCGAGCGGUCUAAGGCACUGGAUUAAGGCUCAAGUCUCUCAGGAGGCGUGGGUUCAAAUCCCACCACUGCCA